AUAUCGACAGUGGGUUUACGACCUCGAUGUUGGAUCAGGGUAUCCUAGUGGUGCAGUCGCUACUAAAGGUUCGUUUGUUCAACGAUUAAAACCCUACGUGAUCUGAGUUCAGACCGGAGUAAUCCAGGUCGGUUUCUAUCUAUAAAACGUUCCCCCUCGUACGAAAGGAUCGGGGUAACAUGGCCAAUGCAAAAAUAAGCCAUACUCUUCCACUAAUGAAUAAAUCUCAAUUAAAUAAGACCUGCUAUUCUUCCCCAGACUAGGG
rnacentral:rRNA from 1 species